UAGGGAAUCUUCGGCAAUGGACGAAAGUCUGACCGAGCAACGCCGCGUGAGUGAAGAAGGUUUUCGGAUCGUAAAACUCUGUUGUUAGAGAAGAACAAGGACGUUAGUAACUGAACGUCCCCUGACGGUAUCUAACCAGAAAGCCACGGCUAACUACGUGCCAGCAGCCGCGGUAAUACGUAGGUGGCAAGCGUUGUCCGGAUUUAUUGGGCGUAAAGCGAGCGCAGGCGGCUUCUUAAGUCUGCUGUGAAAGCCCCCGGCUCAACCGGGGAGGGUCAUUGAAAACUGGGAGAGUUGAGUGCAGAGGAGGAGAGUGGAAUUCCAUGUGUAGCGGUGAAAUGCGUAGAUAUAAGGAGGAACACCAGUGGGGAAGGCGGCUCUCUGGUCUGUAACUGACGCUGAGGCUCGAAAGCGUGGGGAGCAAACAGG
rnacentral:rRNA from 1 species